ensembl:lncRNA
UUAAAAACAGCAUUAUAUUGGUCAACAAAGGCCACAACCAGAAAGAUACCAAUAGUAUGACUAGAAUGGUCAAGAUCAAUAUUACUGAUUUUCCUAGAAACAGAUAACACGUUCUUUCACAGUCUGCAAACAAGGAGGAAUGAAAUUGAAUGUGAGGAGCUUGUGGUCACUUAUACAUACAUCAGACUUGCAUUAAGACUUAAGCUCUAUAUUCCAAGUAUGAUUAUACGGAGAUCUUCCUGUUUGUCAUAAUGCAUUUUGCAAAUGCUCUCAUUCAGUCAUGGUGUCUGGUAUCAAGACAUGCAUUGAUCGUGUUUGCUGUCACUGUCAUCAGAUCCCACAGACACUCACUCUUUCAUUAUGUCUGAAAAUUCAAUAUACCAGCCAUCAGAUGUUUUGGUCAACAAACAGAAACAGGGUAAUGCAGAGGUUUGUACACUGUCACACACCAAACAUACAUAACUGUCCAUCAUGGACAGAAUACAAACACAUUUACUUGUGUCUUAAUAAUCUUUCUUCUUCCUUAAGAAUGUUUAUCACCUGUACUCCAUGAUCCCUGACAAACCAGUUCACUCAAACGCAGAAGAUCACGUGUACAGUUUGAUGAAGAUGCACUGAUGAAUCUCAUGUCUGUGUUCAUUAAGUAUAGCGACUAUAAAUAACAUGUCUUUACUUUCAGACAAAGCAGUAGUUGUUUAUUUUUUUAUUAUUCAGUUUUUAAUGUGGAAUAUACUGUGACUUCAUUGAAUAUCCAGAGCAUCUUCUCUGGCAAUCCCACUAGUACAGUACCACUAUUGGAGCUUGAGCAUUCAGUAAGACCUGAACUAAAAUUUUGAUGAUAAAUGAAAAUGUUUUACUUCUUUUCUGAUGAAAUUGAACCAUCUGAACAUUUGAACCAAAUCUUUUUUUCUUAUUAGUUUUCUGUAUUUAUUUUUUUUUUAAAUGCUUAAAUCAGUUUUUCAAGGUCCAUCAUGUGACGUAAACUUCUCCUCCCACAAAACCCAGCCAAUUACGUCAGAGAUUUGUUUUGUUAGUAAUUCUGAAUGGUCUGUACUCUGUAUGUUUUAAGAAUCAUCCCCAAAGCUAAAGUAGAAUUUAAACAUUUAUCUUUUAAAAUGGAUUUUAUUUUAAAUGUUUCAGGCCUCUAAAGCUAUUAUAUCAGAUAUUAUUGUUCAUGCUCUGUGAUGCACAUAUAUUGUAUGUAAAUGUACACUACUUCCUAAUUCACCCAUUGUGUAAGACUCAUUCUGUCCAUUUUCUACAUUUACAUUAUCCAGGCUAACAUUUUUUACCUAACAUGUUCCCUGGAAAUCAAACCCACAACCUUUUGCGCUGCUAACGCAAUGCGCUACCACUGAGCCACAGGAACACCUC